CAGCAGCCGCGGGAAUACGUAGGUGGCAAGCGUUGUCCGGAAUUAUUGGGCGUAAAGGGCUCGCAGGCGGUUUCUUAAGUCUGAUGUGAAAGCCCCCGGCUCAACCCGGGAGGGUCAUUGGAAACUGGGAAACUUGAGCGCAGAAGAGGAGAGUGGAAUUCCGCGUGUAGCGGUGAAAUGCGUAGAGAUGUGGAGGAACACCAGUGGCGAAGGCGACUCUCUGGUCUGUAACUGACGCUGAGGAGCGAAAGCGUGGGGAGCGAACAGGAUUAGAUACCCGAGUAGUCCCUGUCUCUUAUAC
rnacentral:rRNA from 1 species